rnacentral:tRNA from 1 species
CGCGGGGUGGAGGAGCAGUACCUCGUCAGGCUCAUAACCUGGAGACCCGGGUGCGAGUCCCGGCCCCGCAA